AGGACGAACGCUGGCGGCGUGCUUAACACAUGCAAGUGGAGCGACGAACCGGGGCUUGCCCCGGGGCAGAGCCGCGAACGGGUGAGUAACACGUGGGUUACCUACCCCGAUGACUGGGACAACCCGAGGAAACUCGGGCUAAUACCGGAUGUGGUCUACGGACUAAAGGAAGCUUCGGCCUCCGCAUUUGGAUGGGCCCGCGGCGCAUUAGCUAGUUGGUGGGGUAACGGCCUACCAAGGCGACGAUGCGUAGCUGGUCUGAGAGGACGAUCAGCCACACUGGGACUGAGACACGGCCCAGACUCCUACGGGAGGCAGCAGUGGGGAAUCUUGCGCAAUGCGCGAAAGCGUGACGCAGCAACGCCGCGUGGGGGAAGAAGGCCUUCGGGUUGUAAACCUCUUUCAGUUGGGACGAAGGCCUCGCGGUUAAUAGCCGUGGGGGUUGACGGUACCUUCAGAAGAAGCCCGGCUAACUACGUGCCAGCAGCCGCGGU
rnacentral:rRNA from 1 species